ACGUACAAGUGUACAACGGUACAACAACGUAACCAUGAAUGAGAAAUUUACAUAUAUGAUAUACAAUAAUUUGAAUUGAAAUAAUUUCAUAUAUAAUUCAUACAAAAAAAUCCAUAAACACCAAUUUAUAUGUUUAGCCAAACAAUAUAAUAAUCAAAACAAAAAGAAAGUUAGCUUUGGUCUCUAGCUUGGAAAAAGUGAAGGCAUACGAAACAACUCCAAAUUUCAAAAUAUAGUCAAUGGCAGUAGCAAUAUAUGAUAGCUGCAUCAUCCUAGCAAAACGACAGCAACAGUAACAUCAGCUACACAUUAAACAUCAAUAGACCAUUUCAAACUCCUAUUUUGAACCACUCCUCGAAACAAAUAAAAAAAAAAUUAAAGUUAGUUAAUACAUUUCAAGCCAAUUUUUUUUCCCUCAAAUUAAACAUCAAUAGACCAUAUUAGCAACAGCUAUAUUGAAUCAAUGCAAACAAUAAACAUGUCUACCAAUAUGCAGUACUUUAAACACCAAUCUUCAUCUUAUUAAAAAAUAUAUCAAAUCAAACCCUACUAUCUAACAACAAACUAAACUAUUGAAAACCACCAAGCAUUUUGAUUAACAAGACUAGGUCUUAUGAGACUGUACUAUCAAUAUAUAAUCACAAUAAAAAAAAUAAAAAAAAAUCACAAAGCUAUUCAAUUCGCAUAAUUAUAGAAAUGCGAUAUAAUAAAUAAUUUUUUCCCCAAGAACUCAAUUGAUAAAGAACUAAUACUUAAUUUCUUGAAAUUAAAUAAUUCUCUGGAACUUAUAUUGUUAGGAAUUACGGAAAUAAAGGGAAAAGAGGACAACAUUAAGGUAUUCUUUGGCAAUGAGAGUAGGAGCGAACUUACUUAAGAAGCGACAUCGGAAAUCAUAACUAAUUUCAAGCCAUUGCCCCGGCGACUCCAACAGCAGCGACAGAGGUAACUCGGCGGCGGCGGCAGUGGUUAUGGCGACGGUGGGUUUAGAUUCGGGUUCCUCUUUCUAAAAGAGAGAGUGAUUGCGGUGAUUCCCAAAGGAAACAUUGAGGGUUUCGUGGGAGUUAAUGAGUGAGGUGGGACUUGUGGGAGCGGAAGCGAGUUAUAGAGGUUUACAGAAUUUCCCACUUAAUUUUAAAGUGAAAUUUUCAAAGCCUCUUUGUAUCGUACUUGUGUGACACUGUUUAGUUAUCCGUCGAUCAGUAAUUAACUAUUUUUUUUUAAAAAAAAACACUAAUAGUGACGCUUUAAAGUGUGUAAACAAUCACAAAAAAAAAAAAACGGCCAGUGACACCAUUUAAAAGUCAUUAACUCAUUACAAAAGCGUGCAUAUUGUAAUUUUCUAAAAAAAAUCGUCUAUAUUGUAACAUUUUCUUGUAGUGGAACCAUGUGAAUACUUAAUACGAAAAGGUUGGUGAGUGUAAUGUUGGGCAAAGAUAAGAAAAAAAAAUUGAUAAGAAAAAUUAGAAGGAUUGGGCAUAUAAAGUUAACUGUUACAACCAAGUGAUACUAAUAUCAAAGUGUUACAAUAAUGUGUUACCUAAUAUUAAAGUGUUACAAAAAGUGUUACGUAAUAUCAAAAUGUUACAAAAGUGUUACAUAAAAGUCAAAUAAUCAUGAAACUUUUAAAGUGUUACCAAUUGGUGUUACUUAAGUCCAAUUUUGUAGUAGUGAUUACUGCUAUAGUUUUUCUGUUCAAUUGCUACUGUAUUUUGUCUGAAAUUAUUGCUGCAUGUAAUAAUGUUGUUGUUGCCAUGUUAUAUUGCUGCUAUUGUUACUUUGCAGUUGCCCCAUAGCUGCAGUUCUGUCCGUUCCAAAAUUAUGGACCUACAGUCGUUUUUAGCCCCUAGCCCCUUCAUAAAAGUUAUAGAUCUUGAAAAGUUAUACAAUCUAGGCUCAAAAAUUUCUCAAUUUGGAAUUGUGUGCUGAAAGUUAUGCCUUCUAGAAAUUUCUGUGGUCUGCUAACUUGGUUCUAUCGCAACAAGGUUAUUAUUGUUCUCUUGAUGCCUAUGUGAGGUUGUUGCAUUGAGUUGGGUAGGGUUGCUAAAAUGAAUACUGUGCCUUUUCUUUUUUCUUUUUAUUCUAUUUUCCCUACAAUUUUUUACAAAUUAAUUACUUCUUAAAUUAAUAUGUGGAUUUGGAAAUACUGGUGUCUUUUGUAAACAAAUGCUUGAUUUUGGUGCAUUUCUAAACUUGAAGUGAUUGAGAAGAAUUCUUGAUGUUUUCAGAAAUUAGCUUGAGAGAACCAUACAAGUUAUAGUUGUGCUAGAUUAUAAACGGAUUUUGGGGCUCGGUUAUCUUGGUUGUCAGGUGGUUAGAUGUGCCCUAGCUCUAAAUAGAUCAUUAUUAUUGUAAAACUUGUGUGAUUUCAUAGUUGUAAAAAUGAACAUGUUUGUGGAAAAAUUGGCUCAUUAAACAACACUUGGAGGAGUUUGUCCAUUAAGGGUAAGCAAAAUAGAUCCUUUGUGAAUUUAUUAUGUUGAAUAUAUAAUUUGAGAAGGUUCGUCCUACCUCUCUUGUUUCAGUGUUUGCCAAUAACCACUGAUGUCAGGACUUACAACGAGAAAAUGCUUAACGAUGAGUUCUACAUUGGUCUAUGACAAAGAAGAGCCACUUGGAAGUAAUAUGAUGAGCUUCUUGAGGAGUUCAUGAGUGCAGUAAAGCAGAACUAUGGAGAAAAGUUCUUGUUAUACAGACUACCAACCAUAAUGCCUUCAAGCUGCUCUCAAAAUACUCAACAAGUUAUCGUGUGUUAGUUCAAUGGUGAUAUUCAGGGGACUACAUCUAUUGUCCUAACAAGAAUUCUUUUGGCACUGAAAUUAGUUGGUGGCACCUUGGCAGAACAUAGAUUUUUAUUCCUUGGACCAGGAGAGGUAAGAAUGAUACCUUUUUUUCUUUGACGUUGAGCUCUGGGUGUAAAGUGGUUCUGAUUGAAUUACAGUGAAGCUAACAUUUUUAUUCAAUUACGGUGAAGCUGAUUCCUGUCAUAUGACAUUGUAGGCUGCCAAAGGUAAAGCACAUGGAAGAAAGAUAUAUAUUGAAGACAGAGAAAGAGAGUUGAUUUAUUGGAGCUUUAGAUUGUCUAUAGUCAAUUGACUUGUUUCCCGCUUUGGACGUUUCAAUCCCUCCAUUGUAUAUACAAUUAGAUACGAACAAUUAGUGGUACUAAUAAUGUACUAGUUUGUGAAUCUAUUUAUCUUUUUUAGGGUACACAUUGUGUAGUAUAUUUACUUGGAUAUUGUUUUUGGAUUUGAUAGAUGUGUUCACAUGCGUUAUGAUAUAAAAAAUUUUACAUCUA